CCGGAGGCCCCGUUAAAGACAAAAACUCCCCCAGAGAGGAGCUCAGUGACACGGACGCACCGCAGAACACGAGCACAGGAAGCGUCUGCAAGUACAGCUCCGGCCGGAUUCACAACUUCCGGUGGAAGAAGAGUUGUCGCCGUGGGAACCAGCAGGUGGCCACGGGGCGGAGCCGGCACAAUGUUCGGGGGGGUCGCUUCAUUUGUUAGCGUUAUUUUUGCCUCCAGCUGUUGGAGUUUGGU